AGUGAACGCUGGCGGUAGGCCUAACACAUGCAAGUCGAACGGCAGCACAGUAAGAGCUUGCUCUUACGGGUGGCGAGUGGCGGACGGGUGAGGAAUACAUCGGAAUCUACUUUUUCGUGGGGGAUAACGUAGGGGAACUUACGCUAAUACAGCAUACGACCUACGGGUGAAAGCAGGGGAUCUUCGCACCUUGCGCGAUUGAAUGAGCCGAUGUCGGAUUAGCUAGUUGGCGGGGUAAAGGCCCACCAAGGCGACGAUCCGUAGCUGGACUGAGAGGAUGGUCAGCCACACUGGAACUGAGACACGGUCCAGACUCCUAGGGGAGGCAGCAGUGGGGAAUAUUGGACAAGGGGCGCAAGCCUGAUCCAGCCAUACCGCGUGGGUGAAGAAGGCCUUCGGGUUGGAAAGCCCUUUUGUUGGGAAAGAAAAGCAGCAGGUUAAUACCCCGCUGUUCUGACGGGACCCAAAGAAUAAGCACCGGCUAACUUCGUG
rnacentral:rRNA from 1 species